AGCAGGAGAAGAAGGAGAAGGUGGAAAGAGAGAAGGAGGAGAAGAGAGAGAAGAAAGAAAUGAAGAAGCGAGGGGAAGAAAAGAAGCAACAGAGAAACAAUUAACCCCCCUUUUCCUUUUCAUUCCCAUCUUUAUACAAUAAUAUGAAGUGUUUCUACAGUUUGUAUGUUUAACUGCAGCUGCUGCUGCCUGUCCACACAUCGGAGAAAUACUGCCCUCCGGUGGUGAAGCUUUAGUACCACAGUGGUUUGACGUUGAAGAAAUAUGGAUUUGACUCAGAGCUUUUGGUCAAAAUGAAAGAUAUCAUCCAAGUUUUUCGCUUUUAUUGCAGGCGACAGGUCGAUACAUGAGCUAAAAUGACGAAAGCUAAACAUCCACAAAGCUGAACAUUUUGUCAAUAGGUCAACGUGGACUGGAUGUAAGGUCUUAGACAGAAUGAAACGUGUGACCGUAAAAACCCCAGAUGUCUCCCAAAAUGGACGACAAAGAUUCUGUGGUUGCUGUGCUUGUCUCCGGGCGCAACAUUUGUAUUUGAUUAUAUAUGUAAUGUUUUGCAGAAAAUAUUGCUUCUACUGAGGACCUCUGACCUCUGACCCCUGACAUCAACUGAAGACUUUCUGAUAACUGACGACUACGACUCACCAAUCUUCCUUUUCUGUGUAUUUUACUGUACACUAAAGAAUUCUGCAGCAUUGCUCACAGGUUCUGCUACGAACGCCCCUCUCCUCCUCAGAUAAAUAAUAUGUACUAUAGAUAAAUACGGGACUGUUGGGAACGUGGCAUGUGCAUGUUGUGCGUAGUGUCGGAGGUCACUAGUUCAUUGUAAUGAGGCGCAUUGUCAGUACUGUCCAGCCAUCUUCUCAUAAAUACAUGAUAUACGUAUACAGAUAUAUAUAUUUUUUUAUAUUAACUUUUUUUCGUGACUUUUAAUUUUAAUCAUGACCAAAAAUAUCCUCCAUACAUACAAUUUUGCCCCCUGCACUGUAUCAAAUAAAGGUAGAGGCUGUCAAGACCUGACAUGACCUCAGUUCCCUGUCUCUCCUGCAGACGCUUGAACCUUCAACAGCGGUCCGUGGAAGUGCCGUGUAUAAUGCAUCAGCUCUGACAGACGAAGGUGUUUGUGCAUGAGCAAUGCAAGACGUCAGCGUGAGACCGGACGAUUAUCCCGCCACGCCAGACUUUUACGGAAACUUUAACGGUCGCGGGCGUCAAGCAUACCUGCACCACAAGGCGACUUAGAAGAAGACAUUCCGAGUGAGUGAGUG